CCAGCGAACUUGGCAGAGAUGCCUUGGUGCCUUCGGGAACGCUGAGACAGGUGCUGCAUGGCUGUCGUCAGCUCGUGUUGUGAAAUGUUGGGUUAAGUCCCGCAACGAGCGCAACCCUUAUCCUUUGUUGCCAGCGAUUCGGUCGGGAACUCAAAGGAGACUGCCGGUGAUAAACCGGAGGAAGGUGGGGAUGACGUCAAGUCAUCAUGGCCCUUACGAGUAGGGCUACACACGUGCUACAAUGGCGCAUACAAAGAGAAGCGACCUCGCGAGAGCAAGCGGAUCUCAUAAAGUGCGUCGUAGUCCGGAUCGGAGUCUGCAACUCGACUCCGUGAAGUCGGAAUCGCUAGUAAUCGUGGAUCAGAAUGCCACGGUGAAUACGUUCCCGGGCCUUGUACACACCGCCCGUCACACCAUGGGAGUGGGUUGCAAAAGAAGUAGGUAGCUUAACCCUCGGGAGGGCGCUUACCACUUUGUGAUUCAUGACUGGGGUGAAGUCGUAACAAGGUAAGCGUAGCGAG
rnacentral:rRNA from 1 species